rnacentral:rRNA from 1 species
AUGAACGCUAGCUACAGGCUUAACACAUGCAAGUCGAGGGGCAGCAUGGUCUUAGCUUGCUAAGGCCGAUGGCGACCGGCGCACGGGUGAGUAACACGUAUCCAACCUGCCGUCUACUCUUGGACAGCCUUCUGAAAGGAAGAUUAAUACAAGAUGGCAUCAUGAGUCCGCAUGUUCACAUGAUUAAAGGUAUUCCGGUAGACGAUGGGGAUGCGUUCCAUUAGAUAGUAGGCGGGGUAACGGCCCACCUAGUCUUCGAUGGAUAGGGGUUCUGAGAGGAAGGUCCCCCACAUUGGAACUGAGACACGGUCCAAACUCCUACGGGAGGCAGCAGUGAGGAAUAUUGGUCAAUGGGCGAGAGCCUGAACCAGCCAAGUAGCGUGAAGGAUGACUGCCCUAUGGGUUGUAAACUUCUUUUAUGAAGGAAUAAAGUCGGGUAUGGAUACCCGUUUGCAUGUACUUUAUGAAUAAGGAUCGGCUAACUCCGUGCCAGCAGCCGCGGUAAUACGGAGGAUCCGAGCGUUAUCCGGAUUUAUUGGGUUUAAAGGGAGCGUAGAUGGAUGUUUAAGUCAGUUGUGAAAGUUUGCGGCUCAACCGUAAAAUUGCAGUUGAUACUGGAUAUCUUGAGUGCAGUUGAGGCAGGCGGAAUUCGUGGUGUAGCGGUGAAAUGCUUAGAUAUCACGAAGAACUCCGAUUGCGAAGGCAGCCUGCUAAGCUGCAACUGACAUUGAGGCUCGAAAGUGUGGGUAUCAAACUGGAUUAGAUACCCUGGUCGUCCACCCGGUACAACAUGAAUACUCGCUGUUUGCUAUAUACUGCAAGCGGCCAAGCGAAAGCGUUAAGUAUUCCACCUGGGGAGUACGCCGGCAACGGUGAAACUCAAAGGAAUUGACGGGGGCCCGCACAAGCGGAGGAACAUGUGGUUUAAUUCGAUGAUACGCGAGGAACCUUACCCGGGCUUAAAUUGCAGAUGAAUUACGGUGAAAGCCGUAAGCCGCAAGGCAUCUGUGAAGGUGCUGCAUGGUUGUCGUCAGCUCGUGCCGUGAGGUGUCGGCUUAAGUGCCAUAACGAGCGCAACCCUUGUUGUCAGUUACUAACAGGUUCCGCUGAGGACUCUGACAAGACUGCCAUCGUAAGAUGUGAGGAAGGUGGGGAUGACGUCAAAUCAGCACGGCCCUUACGUCCGGGGCUACACACGUGUUACAAUGGGGGGUACAGAGGGCCGCUACCACGCGAGUGGAUGCCAAUCCCCAAAACCUCUCUCAGUUCGGACUGGAGUCUGCAACCCGACUCCACGAAGCUGGAUUCGCUAGUAAUCGCGCAUCAGCCACGGCGCGGUGAAUACGUUCCCGGGCCUUGUACACACCGCCCGUCAAGCCAUGGGAGCCGGGGGUACCUGAAGUGCGUAACCGCGAGGAGCGCCCUAGGGUAAAACUGGUGACUGGGGCU